rnacentral:lncRNA from 1 species
GCUGAACAAAAACCAGUAAUGGGCUCAACUAGCAGCCCAUUAACCUGAGUUCCAUUUACACUCCCUACUUGACAUUAUACCCCAUUUUCCAUUUUAUUCAUUUCUUUUAUUUUUCUUAAUUUUUAUUUUUACAAUUUGAUCAAUUAGGAUAAUAUUAGCUUAAUUAGUUUGAUUUUGACAAUUAGGAAUAAACCUUGAUUUUAGGAGUUAAUUAGGAUUUCC